rnacentral:rRNA from 1 species
AUUGAACGCUGGCGGCAGGCCUAACACAUGCAAGUCGAACGGUAACAGGAAGCAGCUUGCUGCUUCGCUGACGAGUGGCGGACGGGUGAGUAAUGUCUGGGAAGCUGCCUGAUGGAGGGGGAUAACUACUGGAAACGGUAGCUAAUACCGCAUAAUGUCGCAAGACCAAAGGGGGGGACCUUCGGGCCUCUUGCCAUCGGAUGUGCCCAGAUGGGAUUAGCUUGUUGGUGGGGUAACGGCUCACCAAGGCGACGAUCCCUAGCUGGUCUGAGAGGAUGACCAGCCACACUGGAACUGAGACACGGUCCAGACUCCUACGGGAGGCAGCAGUGGGGAAUAUUGCACAAUGGGCGCAAGCCUGAUGCAGCCAUGCCGCGUGUAUGAAGAAGGCCUUCGGGUUGUAAAGUACUUUCAGCGGGGAGGAAGGGAGUAAAGUUAAUACCUUUGCUCAUUGACGUUACCCGCAGAAGAAGCACCGGCUAACUCCGUG